UGGGGAAUUGUUCGCAAUGGGCGCAAGCCUGACGACGCAACGCCGCGUGGAGGAUGAAGGUCUUCGGAUCGUAAACUUCUGUUGCCCGGGACGAAUAGCUUAGACCUAAUACGUCUGAGUAUGACGGUACCGGGUGAGGAAGCCCCGGCUAACUCUGUGCCAGCAGCCGCGGUAAUACAGAGGGGGCAAGCGUUGUUCGGAAUUACUGGGCGUAAAGGGCGCGUAGGCGGCCUGCUAAGUCGAACGUGAAAUCCCCGGGCUCAACCCGGGAACUGCGUCCGAUACUGGCAGGCUUGAAUUCGGGAGAGGGAUGCGGAAUUCCAGGUGUAGCGGUGAAAUGCGUAGAUAUCUGGAGGAACACCGGUGGCGAAGGCGACAUCCUGGACCAAUUCUGGCGCUGAGGAGCGAAAGCCAGGGGAGCAAACGGGAUUAGAUACCCUAGUAGUCCCUGAGCGGGCUGGCAAGGCGCAU
rnacentral:rRNA from 1 species